UUGCUGGAACUCUCAUUCCAAGCCUGAAGCCUGUCCUCUGAACAGGUGGACCACUCACUUUGAAUCCCAGGAUUCAUGCAUGGUCCUUCUCCAGAGGUGCAGCCUCUUUCCUGGCCAGUAAGCAAGUUCAUCCAGAAAGGGGCUGUUAUGGUUUGAUAACUAGUGGUCAACUUAACACCAGCUGGAUUCCAUCAGCAUGCAUUGAGAGAAGAUGCUCCACCUGAGAAGGGUUGCCAGGAUAAAUAGGUGGAGAAGAAGAGAGGUGUUGAGAGGGAUUGAGGCGUUAUGGAGACAUUGUUGGUUCUCCUACGAGUUGCUGUCUGAGCUGUUGGUUCUCCUGGAGAAGCUUUGGUCUUCACAUCGAGCAUUGCUUCCUGGCUCCGGAGGGGAAGACAUGUGCUGCCUGGUCUCCAGGAUGAACUCGUCAUGCUGCUUCCUGGCACAUACCCGACUGUGCUUGUCGUCGGAGGAGCUCGGGGCCUCCGUGUCGCUGAGGACAGCUGUGGUGCCUUUCAGGACAGCCCCGCUCUUUGUUGUGAGUGUGACUUCUCAACUCCAGUGUAGAACCCUCAUCCCACUAGCACAGUUCCUUCAAUCUGCUGGCAUAGACUUUCUGGCUUCCACCGCUGACCCUGGGGUCUUCCCGGCACGAAUCUGUAAAAGAGACUGGCGUAAGUCCUUCUUGUGGGCUCUGGACUUCCAGUUGGACUCGUGGAGGCACUGUUCUGAGCUCUGGGUUUUUAUCUGGACUCAUUUGGGACAUUGCCAUGGGGUUUAGACUCUUGACUAAAUAAUCUAUGUCGGUGGUGUUGCGGAUGGAUUUCCUGCAUUCUCCUGUGUUAACUUCCAGUGACCAUUAUAAAAAUAUUAUAAACUCCAUGUCCUGAUCUGAAUUGUUCUCUGUGUACAACACCAGACUACAACAGGGGCCCAGGAUGGGGCACUGGCUCUUGGUUGGCUCAAAAGUUCUGUCUGCCCUAGCCCCAGGCGCCCCUCUUGGCAGUAGGAUCCAGGGAUCCCAGGCCACUAGAAGCUUCCAGCUGGGACUGAGCUUUCCUUUUUGCUUAAUCUGGAGCAUUACAGAGACAUUUCUCCAAGGACAGAAGCCCUCUCCAGCUUUCCUUCUAUCCAGCAGAGUUGCCCAGGUUGCAGCUGCCCUGAGACUCAGGUUGUCCUGGAGUAGCUGUUUUGGGGAUGGGUGGAUUAAUCUUUCACACGCUAGAGUGAUUGGCAGGGAUGCUUCCCAGGAGGAGGAAGAGGACAGGUCAGGCUGGGGCAGAGUUGAGCCCCAGAGCAAGGAGAGCCAGGGAGGAUCUGCAGACUGGAAAUAGCUAGAUGGUGUUACUGUGCAGCCUCAAGUGCCUAUCAAGGUCCAACGUGUCCAGGACUAUUGUGAUCAUUACUGCUUUGAGAAGUUGACCCCCACUCAAGUCCCCUCAUCCAGGAGUGCACUGACUGUCUCUCUAGGGGGCAUUGCUGUGGACAUCCUUAAGCAUGCCAUUGGCUUCCCCAUCCUAUGGCCAAGACCUUUCAAUCUUGUAAGACAUUGGUGGUAGGGGAAGGUUCAUUCUUGUAUUUACUUCUUCAUUCCACAAAGAGCUAAGUAUCUUGCUAGUUACCCAAUAUCAUAUAAAGAGGAAAUGGCUUGGUCCCCAACUACUGGGACCUUAGGGUUUAGUUGAGAAUCCAGGUAGCAGCCAGGAAGCACAUUCAUUAUACAGCUGGAUGGGGUGAGGUGGGAUUUUAACAAGUUUGUGUGAAGGAAAUAGAGAGUGGGAAGGGGUGAAUUAAUUCUGGGGGGAGGUGGAGAGGGUCAGGGAAAGUGACAUUCCAGAGUUGUGUCUUGCUGGGGCUUUCAGAGGGGUAAAAUGGGAAGCACUUUGUACAGGCAAGGACUCAGCGAAGCAGAGAUACUUGGGGUGGCCUGACCCAUUCACUGGUUGUAAUUGUUGCCUAGGGAAGUUAGCUUUUCAGUGCUGCAGAGUCCCUUGCCAUUUGAACAGCAGAGAUCACAUAUUUGCUAUACAAAAAUUAUCAGGAAACUCAAGGAGACAAUGAGGAAAUAACUUUGCUUUUUUACACUCACUUUUUUUUUUAAUAUGCAGGUAGCAUUCUGGGGACAGCCUCUUUGAUUUUGCUGGAAACCCACAUUCCCACAUCCAGCCACUUCUGUAGGGAGUGAAGGCUGGCUGGUGAUGAGUUUAUCCCAAACAGCUGCUUGGAAAGUUUAUUUUUCAAGUGAGACAAUUGUUGUGAGGGAUGUUAACAGUCCUAGAUGAAAUGAACAUGUGGCUCAUUUAGCGAGCUGCUGGGAUAUCACUGCCUUUUAAUGGAAAUGAGUGGAUGGCAUCAGGCACCUUGUAAUUAAGGGAAGCUGCAGUACGGCAGCAGUUACCUAUGAGAGCAUCUAGUGACAGGUGUCCUAAGGAGGCUGCGGACAGUGUUCUUAUUCUAAAAGCUUCUGCUAGACAACAGAGUGGAGUAAAGAUAGGAGACGCUGUUUUUUAGUUUUUGUUCUUGUUUCUGGGUUAAAAAAUCUGAGACUUCCAGGUACAUCACUGAUAAUGAAACCUUGGAGACUACAGUAAUAGCAGUGUCCAUGAGUUUGGAAGUGUAAGUUUUGUGAACUCAAGGAUUAUUCUCCCCUUGCUUUCCUGUUUGCUUUGUCAUCAGGGUAGGGAGUGGAGGGAGUACUGUUCCUGAAACGUCAGUGUCCCAGGUGCCCAGGGGCAUGCCUUUUGCUGCCACCUUUUGGACUGGAGAGAUUUUUUUUUCUUUUGGAAGCCACUCCCAGGUGGUUUAUUAAUUAUGGACUGAAUAAUCGAGCUGUGAAAAUGAGCCUCCGGCCUCCAGGGAUGUAAAAUAUCGGCUCACUUGAAACAAACAGAGAGCAGCUUCUUCAAGGAAAUUGCUUCCGGGGAUGUUCAGAACUGAUCAAGUGGUUGUGAAAUCCUGCUGUUAAAUGAGGUCUCACAGCAUCUUUCUGGCGUCAUUUUAUUCCCCAUGGACCAGGAAAACAGCUGUCACCAGGGGCCAUAAAAUGGAUUAGAUCUGAAUUGAGCCAGAAGCAAGAGGGGUUGCUUGGGGGCCUACGUCCUGGACAUCAAAAGUAGUGGUUGGCUCUGGGCUGGACCCUGACCUUCAGAUGGACAUUAUCAGCGAACUUGACCUCGUAAACACCACCCGUGGAGUCACUCAGGUGUCUGGACAGCACAAUGGCAGCAAAGCGUUUUUAUUUCAAGUACGGUGGGCUGCUUUGUGGAGGAGAGAAUGCGGAGACCCCAGGAUGUCACUGCAGGCCCAGAUAGGAGGACGUCUGCAGGACUCCAGCAGGUACAGAGGGACCGCUCCUGCCGCCUCACCCUGAUGCCCAGCCUUGGAUAAAUCCUACAGCCCAUGCUCAUCAGAGACUGUGGGACUGAGCCACGUCGGCCCUAUGGUUCAGGCCUCCAGGUCUUCCCCCAGGACUCACGGUGCUGCUGCCCAACAGAGUGGUGUCCUGAAGAGCCCUAACGGUGUAGCACGACCUUGGAGACCUUCCAUGAAUCUGGCUCCAACGCAGCUGUCUCUUCUCAUCACCCACAGUGUCCCUUUCCUGAUGCCAUCUCUUCCCUGCUUACUUAUGGCCCUUGAGUGGAUGUUGCACUUUUGAGUUGCCUGUCUUUACUCUCAGUGUCUUGUCAAACAAAGAGGUCCUUGUCUAUGUGUCAGCCUCUUUACCUUUCUUCAUGUGUACUCCGAUUUCCUCUUACCCAUCCUGGAUGGCUUCAGUUCACAUUAUAUGGGUUUCUUCUGGAAUGUCUCCAAAAUUCUAUUUAACUCAUCUUUGUUCUAUGUUACUUUGUAGCUUGUCUUUCUUGCUAUCAUCUCUCUUAGGGUAGGGGCUUGAUGAUAGGAACCUUAUCCACACUUAAGAACCUACAAUGCAUCU